rnacentral:rRNA from 1 species
UACAGAGGGUGCAAGCGUUAUCCGGAUUUACUGGGUUUAAAGGGUGCGUAGGCUGUGAUAUAAGUCAGAGGUGAAAUGUGUUCGCUUAACGAAUAAAUUGCCUUUGAUACUGUUUCACUUGAAAGACGAUGAGGUUGGCGGAAUGUGACAUGUAGCGGUGAAAUGCUUAGAUAUGUCAUAGAACACCGAUUGCGAAGGCAGCUGACUGGUCGAGCUUUGACGCUGAGGCACGAAAGCGUGGGGAUCAAACAGG